rnacentral:siRNA from 1 species
AAUGUCUUUUCUAGUUCGUCGA